UUCCGUAUAUUUUGCACAUGGAUUUAGAAUUUGUGUCUCCCCUAUUAUCCAAUUAAUCACGUUGCUCUCUCAAUCCAAAAACCCUAGGAAGAAAUCUCCAAUUAAUUGGCGCUCUUCCACCAGUUUUUGCCGUCGAUUGCAGCAAUUAACAGCCCCUCUCUCAUUCUCCUUGUGUCUUGUGAAGGGUGGCGAUGUCUGCUAUUCAUAGCUCCUCCUCCGACGCUCUUGUGUAUGCAAUUGUUUGCUUUGGACUCGCUCGCGCGCUUAUUACAAUGGUUAGAAAAAGGAAGGCAAACGAAGAUCCUGCAGAAGAGGACUGUAGAAAUCGAGUACAUUCAGCACAUUGAGAUUUACAACAUUAAUCACACAUAAGGGAUCAAGUAUUAGUAUAAGCAAUUGCUGACUCACACACAAGCAAAUUAUCAAAUGUAACCAAGUGACAUUGUGGUUUCAAAAUUAAUUGCGAAUAUUACCUAAAUCACUCACGAA